rfam:Schistosoma rodhaini strain Burundi genome assembly, scaffold: SROB_scaffold0010488
AUCCAGCUGACGAGUUCAAAAUGGGACGAAACGGGCAUCCUGGAU